GAGUUUGAUCCUGGCUCAGGAUGAACGCUGACAGAAUGCUUAACACAUGCAAGUCGAUGGGGAAGUGGUGCUUGCACCAUGGCAACCAUGGCGGACGGGUGAGUAACGCGUAAGGGACUUACCUGCAGGACUGGGAUAACAGGGGGAAACUCCUGACAAGACCGGAUAAUGUCAUGGAGCUGCAUGGCUUUAUGAUGAAAGGAGACGCCUGCGGAGAGCCUUGCGUCCUAUUAGCUAGUUGGUGAGGUAAUGGCUCACCAAGGCGAAGAUAGGUAGCCGGCCUGAGAGGGUGGACGGCCACAAGGGGACUGAGAUACGGCCCUUACUCCUACGGGAGGCAGCAGUGGGGAAUAUUGGACAAUGGGGGCAACCCUGAUCCAGCAAUUCUGUGUGCACGAAGAAGGUUUUCGGAUUGUAAAGUGCUUUCAGCAGGGAAGAAGUAAGUGACGGUACCUGCAGAAGAAGCGACGGCUAAAUACGUGCCAGCAGCCGCGGUAAUACGUAUGUCGCGAGCGUUAUCCGGAAUUAUUGGGCAUAAAGGGCAUCUAGGCGGCCUGACAAGUCAGGGGUGAAAACCUGCGGCUCAACCGCAGGCCUGCCUUUGAAACUGUGAGGCUGGAGUACCGGAGAGGUGGACGGAACUGCACGAGUAGAGGUGAAAUUCGUAGAUAUGUGCAGGAAUGCCGAUGAUGAAGAUAGUUCACUGGACGGUAACUGACGCUGAAGUGCGAAAGCCGGGGGAGCGAACAGGAUUAGAUACCCUGGUAGUCCCGGCUGUAAACGAUGAUUACUGGGUGUGGGCAGGAAGACUGUCUGUGCCGAAGCGAAUGCGAUAAGUAAUCCGCCUGGGGAGUACGGCCGCAAGGCUGAAACUCAAAGGAAUUGACGGGGACCCGCACAAGCGGUGGAGCAUGU
rnacentral:rRNA from 1 species